CAAGGAGUCCAGUGGCACCUUAAAGACUAACAGAUUUAUUUGGGCAUAAGCUUUCAUGCCUAAAAAACCUUACUUCUUCAGAUGCAUAGAGUGAAAAGUACA